UCGACUUGGUAACAAAUGUUGGCAAAGCCAGCCAGAAGCCCUGCUGCUCAGGGCCAGCCAGCCCCAGUUAGGGAACUUUGGGGUAAGGCCCAAGCAGCUGUCAGGACCACUUGUCCUGUGGAUCUUCCCUUCAAAAUUCCCCAAAGUGCCACCGGCUGCCGCAGCACUUGGCAGUGGGAGCAAAGAAUUGUCAUCUGGGAGCUGACGAGUUCCAUACAGUAGGGGAGAAAAGAAAGAUUCCGCUAGGCUCCUAAAAUCAACCAAAGCCCCAUCCCAGAAUUCAGCCCGGUUGGUCGAUGGCAAGGCAAAAAGGCACACUUUGAAUGGGAAGAACAACAGAAUAAAGAAGAUGUCAAAUGAAAGGACACUUUUCUGGCGGCAUCACUGUAUUCCUGGAAG